rnacentral:rRNA from 1 species
CCUACGGGUGGCUGCAGUGGGGAAUAUUGCACAAUGGGCGCAAGCCUGAUGCAGCCAUGCCGCGUGUGUGAAGAAGGCCUUCGGGUUGUAAAGCACUUUCAGCGGGGAGGAAGGCGUUAAGGUUAAUAACCUUGGCGAUUGACGUUACCCGCAGAAGAAGCACCGGCUAACUCCGUGCCAGCAGCCGCAGUAAUACGGAGGGUGCAAGCGUUAAUCGGAAUUACUGGGCGUAAAGCGCACGCAGGCGGUCUGUCAAGUCGGAUGUGAAAUCCCCGGGCUCAACCUGGGAACUGCAUUCGAAACUGGCAGGCUAGAGUCUUGUAGAGGGGGGUAGAAUUCCAGGUGUAGCGGUGAAAUGCGUAGAGAUCUGGAGGAAUACCGGUGGCGAAGGCGGCCCCCUGGACAAAGACUGACGCUCAGGUGCGAAAGCGUGGGGAGCAAACAGGAUUAGAUACCCGAGUAGUC